rnacentral:lncRNA from 1 species
AAUACCCAAUGGGAAGAGGUUGAAGACACACUUGUUUCUGAUGCUCUGGAAAUGUUGAGGGCCAUUUUAUAGCCAGUGAUUUUUAAUAUGCAGUAGAUUUGUUAGACUUAAACACCAGCUGGGGAAAAUCAAGGAAUUGGGGGCGGGGGGGAAGGUUUGGGAGAGAUCUAAAAUGAUUUCUCAUGGCACUAUGAUGUACACGACGUUGUUUUUCAGAGGUUCCACUGGAGUGGGAAGAAUUCCAUGAAAGAUCAUUUUAAAACUUAUUUUGAGUUAAACCUUGAUCCUUUUUUUUUUUCAAUAUACUAGACUUUGACACACUGCCUCUUGAGACUAGCAGAAUCUACUAUUCCAUAUACAUAAUAGAGCAUACUUUUUCUAUAAUCAGGUACCUUUUGCUGCUUUGGGAUAAGACUGUUUUCCUGUUUAGAUUUUAAGCAUUGCCAGAGAGAAGAAGCUGUUCUGUUCUUUUGAU